rnacentral:piRNA from 1 species
UGAGAGUUCAUGUCACUUAACGGAGC